rnacentral:rRNA from 1 species
UGGGGGAUAUUGCGCAAUGGGGGAAACCCUGACGCAGCAACGCCGCGUGAAGGAAGAAGGUCUUCGGAUUGUAAACUUUUGUCUUUGGGGAAGAAAAAAAUGACGGUACCCAAGGAGGAAGCCACGGCUAACUACGUGCCAGCAGCCGCGGUAAUACGUAGGUGGCAAGCGUUGUCCGGAUUUACUGGGUGUAAAGGGCGUGUAGACGGGACUUAAAGUCAGAUGUGAAAUACCGCAGCUCAACUGCGGGGCUGCAUUUGAAACUUAAGUUCUUGAGUGCAGGAGAGGAAAGCGGAAUUCCUAGUGUAGCGGUGAAAUGCGUAGAUAUUAGGAGGAACACCGGUGGCGAAGGCGGCUUUCUGGACUGUAACUGACGUUGAGGCGCGAAAGCGUGGGUAGCAAACA